GACGAACGCUGGCGGCGUGCCUAACACAUGCAAGUCGAACGGAACUGUUUUGAUAGAUUUCUUCGGAAUGAAUUUGAUUUAGUUUAGUGGCGGACGGGUGAGUAACGCGUGAGUAACCUGCCUUCAAGAGGGGAAUAACAUUCUGAAAAGAAUGCUAAUACCGCAUGACAUAUCGGAACCACAUGGUUUUGAUAUCAAAGAUUUUAUCGCUUGAAGAUGGACUCGCGUCCGAUUAGUUAGUUGGUGAGGUAACGGCUCACCAAGACCGCGAUCGGUAGCCGGACUGAGAGGUUGAACGGCCACAUUGGGACUGAGACACGGCACAGACUCCUACGGGAGGCAGCAGUAGGGGAUAUUGCGCAAUGGGGGCAACCCUGACGCAGCAACGCCGCGUGAAGGAUGAAGGUUUUCGGAAUGUAAACUUCUUUUAUUAAGGACGAAAAAUGACGGUACUUAAUGAAUAAGCUCCGGCUAACUACGUG
rnacentral:rRNA from 1 species